rnacentral:rRNA from 1 species
ACUGAACGCUGGCGGCAGGCCUAACACAUGCAAGUCGAGCGGAUGACGGGAGCUUGCUCCUUGACUCAGCGGCGGACGGGUGAGUAAUGCCUAGGAAUCUGCCUGGUAGUGGGGGACAACGUUUCGAAAGGAACGCUAAUACCGCAUACGUCCUACGGGAGAAAGCAGGGGACCUUCGGGCCUUGCGCUAUCAGAUGAGCCUAGGUCGGAUUAGCUAGUUGGUGGGGUAAUGGCUCACCAAGGCGACGAUCCGUAACUGGUCUGAGAGGAUGAUCAGUCACACUGGAACUGAGACACGGUCCAGACUCCUACGGGAGGCAGCAGUGGGGAAUAUUGGACAAUGGGCGAAAGCCUGAUCCAGCCAUGCCGCGUGUGUGAAGAAGGUCUUCGGAUUGUAAAGCACUUUAAGUUGGGAGGAAGGGCAGUAAGCUAAUACCUUGCUGUUUUGACGUUACCGACAGAAUAAGCACUGGCUAACUCUGUGCCAGCCGCCGCCGUAA